UUGGGAGGGGAAUCCUUGCGCCACCAAAAACAAUCCUAUAUCUAUAUAUAUUUAAAACCAUGUUGUCACUCCCCUCCCCCUCCAAAGGAAUUGUAUUUACUUCUUUCAUUUCGUACCAACCGGAGGAAGGGGGGGGGGGCACACAAGACAAUCGCUUCUUCACGCCAAGGCGCUCCAGAGAGGCACGAUCUCCCCGGAAUGGCUUGGCGCUGGGACAACUUGAACUCCCAAUGCCAAGGCGAAGAGGCGCCUCCCUGCACUCUCACCCCGGUGUGUCUUGUCUUUACGGGAUUUGGGGGCAAACACCCCCGGAUCGGGCCUUUCCUGCCACUCCUCCGUGGCCCCCAGCCAGGAUAGCCCCAUCCCCAGGGAGGUCGGCACGCCUUCGGACUUGCUUUGGAGCCGGACCCCUUUUGAUAUCAGAUUCCAGCCUUUUGACUUUGGAAGAACCUUUUCAGGGUACACCAAAUAUUCCUUCAGUGACUUUAAAUCUUCAUAUCUUUUCAAACGAGGCACGAUUAGCUGUUUAAUAAGAACACGUUAAUUGAACUACAGACUUAAAAGAAAUGCAGACUUAUUUCAGUUGUUUUCCAAGCUACUUUCCUCCGGAUAAAUUAUAAAAGAAGUCUGAUAUGCUGUGAUUUUAUUUUAUUAGCUACAACUCAUAAACAUGUAUGCUUCUGAUUUGCUGUCGCAGUGCAUUGGUUAAGGGUAAGCAGACAUAUUGAUUAGUUUCAGUUUCUCCAUUUUCCAAUGCUAAAUAAAUCCUGAUCUCCUCCUGGAUCUUAUGUGGCUUGUAAUGGCUCUUAAGCAAAUAUAAUAAAAGGUUGACUAUUUCAA